GCGCCGGUGGUGUAAUGCGAACAUCGCUGCCCGGAAAGCAGAAGAUGCGGGUUCGAGUCUUGCCUGGCGCA
rfam:Heligmosomoides polygyrus genome assembly, scaffold: HPBE_scaffold0001912